UAUUAUUUAAGAGAAAUUGACCAAAAACGAGAAUUUCGAAAUAGAUUUUUAUCGAUUGCUUGGAAACGAGGCAAGCUUUCAUCCCGAGGAACUAAACGGUCAGACGAGGAAAUUUACAAUAACAUCCAAUCUGAAGAUAAAAUUAAAUCUUUCAAAAGAAUGAGGAGAAAAAAUAAUGAAGCGAUUGAACUAUUAAAAGAGAAUAUAUUAGAACCAACUGAAAUAGUGGAACUUUUUAACAUGUGCUCCCCAAAAGUAUUGCACUUCUACCUAAGUGCCAGACAAUGCUUUAAUUGUGGAGGACUGGGACGCAUAAACUCUAUGUGUAAAUCCAAGAAAUUAUUUCUCCGCUGUGGUAAAGCAAAUUGAUGCGCCCUGGAUGAAAAAGUGAGAGAUGUAUCUUAUGUAAAUGUAGUGGACAUCACUCCUGGGAGAAGAGUUCCUGCCCAGUGUGGAUCAAGGAAACUGAUAUUUUGAAAAUUAUGACAAUAAACAAACUGACCGGAAAAGAAGUUAUAGAAAGCUAUUCUCUGAACAACAAUGAAAUGUACACCCAAAAAACAAUGACGACAAUUUCCCACAACUAAGUCCAAAAAUAAAAAACGUGAUCAGCAAUGACACAAGUGUCAAUCAAAUCAUUAAUAAAACGUUAUUCAGCAAGGUGGUGCAGCAGGUCCACGCCCAUCUUUAAUCUAUCCUCAUACACCUAAGAUACAAGCCAACAUCUCUUGUCACCAAGGAUCUUUUUCCACGGCUAGUGCACAUUCUUGGCAAAAUUUAAGCAUUUUGUCGCGUUUUGCAGCGUUAAAGCUCAAGUCCAGAACAAUAAAAGCCUUUACAGGGAGAUCGAAAACGAUCUGCAGGCUCAUCACAUGCUCAGGUCCAAAAUGAAAUGCACGACUGUGCUGGACGAGGCGCUAUUAAAUAAUCUUAUCCGAAGAGGAAGUCAAUCGACUAGAACGCAUUCGAGAAUUGAAAAUUAUUUUAAAAAAGGAUGAGGAUUUCGAGCAAUCUGUAAUGGACCAUAUCAAUAAUUUCGCGGAUAUUUACGUAAUGUUACGGUAUAUAUAUUUCUGAUCAGCAUUAACAUCCGAUUCGAUAUAUAUGCGUAUAUCUACAAUGGUAUUCAAUCUUCGGCAUGCCAAGGAUAUCCACACUUUCUUACCUUUUCUUCUGUUCUAAUCCGUUUUACUUAUUUAAUGCAGCGUUAGCAUUUGGAACAUUAUUGCUAUUUUGCAAAAUGUUGAUCAUGAUCCCAGGAAUUUCACUUGUAGAUAUCCCAAUUCGUAUUUGAAGUUACCAUUGCUUAAAUUCGAAUUGUUUGAUAUGCGCGCCUUGCCGCCAGGCUUCUACGAAGAAGACAUUGACAAACACAUGCAUGUUCUCAGGGGGCAAAUGGAAUCGGAGACGCGGAUCUGCCGCAAUAAAUAUCAUCAGGCUUUUCUGGCUACUCGCCAAAUGUAUUCAAAUGUCAAUUAAGACGAUGAGCACAUGGCUGUGCCUGGUCUCGACUAUGAGAAAGAGAAUGCGAUUCCGAUUCCACGAUUCCGUCUCGAAAGCAAAUUAAGGCUUUCAGUGCUACAGCUAUGGAAUCGGCCAGAUUCAAUGAAGACAACUGAGAUAUAAUUUUUAUCAAAAAAAUAUAAUAUUUAGAUAAAUAUAUAUAUAGAAUUAGAUUUGAUUUAACGCUUGAUCGCGGCCAAGUUGAAAAUCUUAUCAGUAAUGAAAAAUAUUGCUGGAGGAGAAGAUAGUAUUGCGUAUAUUAUGAAAGGAAAUAGAAAACGCGAGGUUCGACCGGUGGAGCUGAAAUCACGAAAGAAUCUUCACGGAAAGUUUGGUACCAUUAAAAUCGACUCCAGCCGCUGGCCAGUAGCAUUCCUAGUGAAGGCCAAAAAGAUUCUAUCAGCGGACCCGAAACGUUAUGUGCGGGAAACUCGGAGCAUGACAAUGCUCAAGGUGGAGCUGCAGUCGAGCCAAUCUACGAACUAAAGUUAGUGAUACCCUGCUCACAGGCGAAGGGGAUAUAUUCACUCGUUGAUGGCCAAGUGAAAAACAAUGUUAAGUUGAAAUGCAGAAGCACAAAAUUUAAUUCGCCACAAUGCUGCAAGGGGAACAAUCUAUCUGAGGGAGAGAUCAAGUAAGCAGCUUGUUAAGG